AUUGAACGCUGGCGGCAGGCCUAACACAUGCAAGUCGAACGAGUGGCGGACGGGUGAGUAACGUCCGGGAAACUGCCCGACGGCGGGGGAUAACUACUGGAAACGCUAGCUAACACCGCACACCAUCGGAUGUGUCCAGAUGGGAUGAGCUAGUGGGUGGGGUAACGGCUCACCUAGGCGCCGAUCCCUAUCUGGUCUGUGAGGAUGAUCAGCCACACUGGAACUGAGACACGGUCCAGACUCCUACGGGAGGCAGCAGUGGGGAAUAUUGCACAAUGGGCGCAAGCCUGAUACAGCCAUGCCGCGUGUAGGAAGAAGGCCUUCGGGUUGUAAAGUACUUUCAGCGGGGAGGCGUUACCCGCAGAAGAAGCACCGGCUAACUCCGUGCCAGCAGCCGCGGUAAUAC
rnacentral:rRNA from 1 species